rnacentral:rRNA from 1 species
UACGGGGGGGGCAAGCGUUGUUCGGAAUUACUGGGCGUAAAGGGUUUGUAGGUGGCCAACUAAGUCAGACGUGAAAUCCCUCAGCUUAACUGGGGAACUGCGUCUGAGACUGGAUGGCUUGAGUUUGGGAGAGGGAUGCGGAAUUCCAGGUGUAGCGGUGGAAUGCGUAGAGAUCCGGAGGAACACCAGCGGCGAAGGCGGCAUCCUGGACUGGUCCUGACACUCAUGAGCGAAAGCGUGGGGAGCGAUCCGG